UCAAGCUACUAAGGGCAUACGGUGGAUGCCUUGGCACUAAGAGCCGAUGAAGGACGCGGUAAGCUGCGAAAAGCCACGGGGAACUGCAAGCAAGUCUUGAUCCGUGGAUGUCCGAAUGGGGAAACCCACCAUCCGUCAUGGGAUGGUAUCCUACGGGAGGGGAACCCGGUGAACUGAAACAUCUAAGUAGCCGGAGGAAGAGAAAUCAAACGAGAUGCCCACAGUAGCGGCGAGCGAAGAGGGCAGAGCCUAAACCAGUCAUCUUCGGAUGGUUGGGGUUACGGACCUGCAUCAACCGAGUCCUACCUAGUCGAAUUACCUGGAAAGGUAAGCCAGAGAGCGUAAGAGCCGCGUAGGUGAAAGGAAGGACGAGGGGGCAGGGAUCCAGAGUACCACGAAGCACGAGGAAUUUUGUGGGAAGUCGGGGGGACCACCCUCCAAGGCUAAACACUUCUUAGUGACCGAUAGCGCAUAGUACCGUGAGGGAAAGGUGAAAAGAACCGCGGGAGCGGAGUGAAAGAGAACCUGAAACCGUAUGUCUACAAGCAGUCGGAGCGCAAGCGACGGCGUGCCUAUUGAAGAAUGAGCCAACGAGUUACGGGCACCAGCGAGGUUAAGCAGGAAAUGCGGAGCCGGAGCGAAAGCGAGUCUAAACAGGGCGAAUAGUUGGUGUUCGUAGACCCGAAACUGUAGUGAUCUACCCAUGAUCAGGUUGAAGCGCAGGUAAAAAUGCGUGGAGGACCGAACCGGUGAGCGUUGAAAAGCUUUCGGAUGAAUCGUGGGUAGCGGUGAAAUUCCAAUCGAACGCAGAGAUAGCUGGUUCUCCUCGAAAUAGCUUUAGGGCUAGCCUCAAGCAGUAAGCAUAGGCGGUAGAGCACUGAUCGGGAUAGGGUCCGUAAAGGAUACCGAACCCUGUCAAACUACGAAUGGUUAUGCUGCAGAGCUUGGGAGUCAGACUACGAGAGAUAAGUCCCGUUGUCAAAAGGGAAACAGCCCAGACCGUCAGCUAAGGUCCCCAAUGCCAUACUAAGUGGAAAAGGAUGUGGGGUCUCAUAAACAACCAGGAUGUUGGCUCAGAAGCAGCCACCAUUUAAAGAGUGCGUAAUAGCUCACUGGUCGAGAGGCCCUGCGCCGAAGAUUCCCGGGGCUAAAGUAUGGAACCGAAGCUACGGAUGCGGUACUUGUACCGCGUGGUAGAGGAGCGUUCCCAUUGGGUUGAAGUCGUCCUGGAAGGGACGGUGGACUGGUGGGAAGUGAGAAUGUUGGCAUGAGUAGCGAAAAGAUAGGUGAGAAUCCUAUCCACCGAAAGCAUAAGGAUUCCUGAGCAACGAUCGUCGUCUCAGGGUAAGUCGGGACCUAAUCCGAGGCAUGGAGCGUAGGAGAUGGACAACUGGUUGAUAUUCCAGUACCGGCAGCAAUCGUUUGAACGAUGGAGUGACGCAGGAAGGCAGGUCCGCGCGAGAAUGGUAGAUCGCGUACAAGCGUGCAGGCUGGUGCACAGGCAAAUCCGUGUACUGAGGCUGAGGCGUGAUGUGGAGGGAACUUGUUCCCGAAGGGAUUGAGCCUACGCUGCCGAGAAAAGCUUCUAGUGAGAAAGCUGCCGCCCGUACCGUAAACCGACACAGGUAUGCGGGGAGAGAAUCCUAAGGUGCGCGGGAGAACCCUCGUUAAGGAACUCGGCAAAAUGUACCCGUAACUUCGGGAUAAGGGUAGCCACAGUGGUGAAGGGACUUGCUCCUGGAGCCUAGUGUGGUCGCAGAGAAGAGGCCCAAGCGACUGUUAACUAGAAACACAGGUGCCUGCGAAAGAGAAAUCUGAUGUAUAGGUGCUGACACCUGCCCAGUGCUGGAAGGUUAAAGAAGGAUGUCCGGGUUCGACCCAAAGCAUUUGACUGAAGCCCCAGUGAACGGCGGCCGUAACUAUAACGGUCCUAAGGUAGCGAAAUUCCUUGUCGGGU
rnacentral:rRNA from 1 species